rnacentral:rRNA from 1 species
UGGGGAAUAUUGGACAAUGGGCGAAAGCCUGAUCCAGCCAUGCCGCGUGUGUGAAGAAGGUCUUCGGAUUGUAAAGCACUUUAAGUUGGGAGGAAGGGCAGUAAGCGAAUACCUUGCUGUUUAGACGUUACCGACAGAAUAAGCACCGGCUAACUCUGCGCCAGCAGCCGCGGUAAUACAGAGGGUGCGAGCGUUAAUCGGAUUUACUGGGCGUAAAGCGUGCGUAGGCGGCUGAUUAAGUCGGAUGUGAAAUCCCUGAGCUUAACUUAGGAAUUGCAUUCGAUACUGGUCAGCUAGAGUAUGGGAGAGGAUGGUAGAAUUCCAGGUGUAGCGGUGAAAUGCGUAGAGAUCUGGAGGAAUACCGAUGGCGAAGGCAGCCAUCUGGCCUAACACUGACGCUGAGGUACGAGAGCAUGGGGAGCAAACAGG